rnacentral:rRNA from 1 species
CACGUAGGGGGCGAGCGUUGUCCGGAUUUAUUGGGCGUAAAGAGCGUGUAGGCGGCUUGGUAGGUCCGCUGUGAAAACUCGAGGCUCAACCUCGAGAUGUCGGCGGAAACCACUUGGCUAGAGUCCGGAAGAGGAGAGUGGAAUUCCUGGUGUAGCGGUGAAAUGCGCAGAUAUCAGGAAGAACACCUAUGGCGAAGGCAGCUCUCUGGGACGGUACUGACGCUGAGACGCGAAAGCGUGGGGGAGCGAACAGG